ACAUAUUAAAAUUAGCAUCUGCAUGUGCUAAAAACCAUUUGUUUCAUGACUGUCAAAAAAAAUUAAAUAAAAAAGGUAUUAACUAUACUUUCCCAUACUCCACAGCUACUUUAUUACAUCACUUGCCUCUAAUUUAGCUUUUUCUAAGAAACUUACAUUUAAUGGCACAUCAAAAAAUCAUGAUAGUCUUUAACUCUCGUUUAAGCAGGAAAAAAUCACCUCUAAAUUUUUUACCCUCUUAAAGAGUACAAUACUCUCUUAAUAUUGGUAUAAUAUUGCAAAGAAAACAAUGAGAUUAAAUAAUAACCUACAGAGGUAAGAACUAAUUUUUUUGCCUCCUUUAGAAGAAAAAUGUACAAUUUUUUUAGGCCGGGCACGUUGGCUCAUGCCUAGAAUCCCAACACUUUGGGAGGCCAAGGCGGGCGGAUCACCUGAGGAGUGAGUUACCACACCUGGCCUAAAAGUACAAUUUUUAACGGAGACAGAGAAAAAUAGGAAUCAUGACUAAAUGGCAGAUUUACUUUUAGUUUAUUAAUUUUUUGUUUAAUAACACAUUUUAAAGUAUGCAAAUACAAAAAUAUUUAAAUGAAAUAAAUAUUUCAAACUAACGCCAUAUUUAGAACUCAAUUUCUGAUAAAUUAAUGAAAUAGUUAUCAAAGGCAAAAGCUUUCAAGCAAAUUAAUGAAAUAGUUAUCAGAAGCAAAAGCUUUCCAGAUGAAUUAUUGGAAAACUAUCCUUGAAAUCUCAAGUUAGGGAAAAACUUAAUAAAGUGGACAUAGAGGGUAUAAACUAUAAAUUUUAAAAUUGAUAAACUUAAAAAUUAAGAAUGUAGCUUUCCUAAAAACUACUCCAAGGAAAGUGGAAAGAUAAAUUUAAAAGUUGAUAUUUCUAGAAAUAUAUUUGUUGGUGAAUAUACUUUCUAGUAGAGAAUAAUGGCAUACAAUAGACAAAGAAAUCAUUUAAAAAAUAAGUAAUCUGUUUUUAACAAAACUGUAGGUGAUUCUUCUGCGGAUAGUUCUCCAUCAAACUUUGGCAAAGAAAACUAAGUUAUUUCUUCA
rnacentral:lncRNA from 1 species